rnacentral:snRNA from 1 species
GUGCUCACUUCGGCAGCACAUAUACUAAAAUUGGAAUGAUACGGAGAAGAUUAGCAUGCCCGCUGUGCAAGUAUGGCACACAAAUUUGUGAAAUGUUCCUUAUUUAA